rnacentral:rRNA from 1 species
UACGGAGGAUGCAAGCGUUAUCCGGAUUUAUUGGGUUUAAAGGGUGCGUAGGCGGAUUUAUAAGUCAGUGGUGAAAACCUGCAGCUUAACUGUAGAACUGCCAUUGAUACUGUGAGUCUUGAGUAUGGUCAAGGUAGGCGGAAUGUGUAAUGUAGCGGUGAAAUGCUUAGAUAUUACACAGAACACCGAUUGCGAAGGCAGCUUACUGGACCAUUACUGACGCUGAUGCACGAAAGCGUGGGGAGCGAAC